ACUCCUACGGGAGGCAGCAGUGGGGAAUAUUGCACAAUGGGGAAACCCUGAUGCAGCCAUGCCGCGUGUGUGAAGAAGGCCUUCGGUUGUAAAGCACUUUCAGUAGGGAGGAAGGUAGUGUAGUUAACACCUGCAUUAUUUGACGUUACCUACAGAAGAAGCACCGGCUAACUCCGUGCCAGCAGCCGCGGUAAUACGGAGGGUGCGAGCGUUAAUCGGAAUUACUGGGCGUAAAGCGCAUGCAGGCGGCCUGUUAAGUCAGAUGUGAAAGCCCGGGGCUUAACCUCGGAAUUGCAUUUGAAACUGGCAGGCUAGAGUCUUGUAGAGGGGGUAGAAUUUCAGGUGUAGCGGUGAAAUGCGUAGAGAUCUGAAGGAAUACCAGUGGCGAAGGCGGCCCCUGGACAAGACUGACGCUCAGAUGCGAAAGCGU
rnacentral:rRNA from 1 species